rnacentral:rRNA from 1 species
CAGGUAGCCUGGCGGCAGCCUACACAUGCAAGUCGAGCGGUAGAGAGAAGCUUGCUUCUCUUGAGAGCGGCGGACGGGUGAGUAAUGCCUAGGAAUCUGCCUGGUAGUGGGGGAUAACGUUCGGAAACGAACGCUAAUACCGCAUACGUCCUACGGGAGAAAACAGGGGACCUUCGGGCCUUGCGCUAUCAGAUGAGCCUAGGUCGGAUUAGCUAGUUGGUGAGGUAAUGGCUCACCAAGGCGACGAUCCGUAACUGGUCUGAGAGGAUGAUCAGUCACACUGGAACUGAGACACGGUCCAGACUCCUACGGGAGGCAGCAGUGGGGAAUAUUGGACAAUGGGCGAAAGCCUGAUCCAGCCAUGCCGCGUGUGUGAAGAAGGUCUUCGGAUUGUAAAGCACUUUAAGUUGGGAGGAAGGGCAUUAACCUAAUACGUUAGUGUUUUGACGUUACCGACAGAAUAAGCACCGGCUAACUCUGUGCCAGCAGCCGCGGUAAUACAGAGGGUGCAAGCGUUAAUCGGAAUUACUGGGCGUAAAGCGCGCGUAGGUGGUUUGUUAAGUUGGAUGUGAAAUCCCCGGGCUCAACCUGGGAACUGCAUUCAAAACUGACUGACUAGAGUAUGGUAGAGGGUGGUGGAAUUUCCUGUGUAGCGGUGAAAUGCGUAGAUAUAGGAAGGAACACCAGUGGCGAAGGCGACCACCUGGACUAAUACUGACACUGAGGUGCGAAAGCGUGGGGAGCAAACAGGAUUAGAUACCCUGGUAGUCCACGCCGUAAACGAUGUCAACUAGCCGUUGGAAGCCUUGAGCUUUUAGUGGCGCAGCUAACGCAUUAAGUUGACCGCCUGGGGAGUACGGCCGCAAGGUUAAAACUCAAAUGAAUUGACGGAAGGGCGAA